CAGCCGCCACGGUAAUACGGAGGGUGCAAGCGUUAAUCGGAAUUACUGGGCGUAAAGCGCACGCAGGCGGUUUGUUAAGUCAGAUGUGAAAUCCCCGAGCUUAACUUGGGAACUGCAUUUGAAACUGGCAAGCUAGAGUCUUGUAGAGGGGGGUAGAAUUCCAGGUGUAGCGGUGAAAUGCGUAGAGAUCUGGAGGAAUACCGGUGGCGAAGGCGGCCCCCUGGACAAAGACUGACGCUCAGGUGCGAAAGCGUGGGGAGCAAACAGGAUUAGAUACCCCAGUAGUCCCUGUCUCUUAUAC
rnacentral:rRNA from 1 species